GAUGGGAUGUCUCCACCAGAUCUCUCCCCUCGGGAAUCAGGGAACCCUAAGGAAGAGGAAGAGGCAGAAAGAGUGAUGGAGAGGAGGGGCCUUAAGGGAUAAUGGAUCUCUGAGUGCAGCUGGUGAUUGGGUUAGAGUUAUCUACCUACUCUGCCAAAAGGACUCACGGUCUUUCCAACCGCCUACCUCCCAUUGGAUGUCAAGCUCAAGAGCCUUUCAAGAUAACCAUAAAUAGAGAAUCCCUUAUCGAACCGCGCAGACCUCCUCUCAGCUCGAAACUGAUGGGUUUGCGCCGCCUCCACACUGCGAAGGCUGUGCUCUACGGGCCUCGCACAUGGCAGAGAUGACUCUGGGCACACAAAGAUACAGACAUGGCUGCUUUAAAGCUCCUCAGAUGACUGACAAGGUGGGCUAUACAGCCGACUUCUUCCUUAUCACCCUAGGCUGUCCCUCUUCCUCACGGGUUAUAAACUCCCUGUUGGAAAUGACAAUAAUUCUCCCAGAAAAUAAAAAAAAGAGUUCAGCCCGUCA